rnacentral:misc_RNA from 1 species
GCCAUCUAUUGGAGCAAUUUUGAGUUCAGUACAUGUAAUUGAUAGUUGAAACAGCAGAUACUGUCUGCUGUGUUGGUGAUUCUUUGCAGGUUUUCCAGCUAACUUGCAACAUCAACCCUUGUUUGCAAGGUGGUACGUGUCAUGAAGUUCCGACUUCUGUUUAUGAUGUAAGAGGAUACAAAUGUUCCUGUCCUUGUGGACGUUGUGGACAUAAUUGCAAUAGAUUGCAUUUUGGACAAGUUGAAGACGCUUGUAUAUAUCUCUUCAAUGCCGGUUACAAGAAAGUUGAAAGUCAGGAAGAAUGUAUGUCAUUUUGUUGGGAUACACAAGGUUGUAGAUCUGCUGAUUACAUAAGUAGUGAAGGAGCUUGUUGGCUGAAUUCAGUUACAGGAGACGAAGAACCUUUGACUAUGGAUUGUGAUAAGUGGUAUCCAGGUGUAGCUUAUCUCUUUUUCAAUUGCACUUGUGAUCCUUCGGAUUAAUAAAGCAAAAACUUCUGAUCGGAUAUUUAUACAUUGUAGUAGCGAUCUGAAUCAGUUGAUUUGAAUUACUGAUGAUUUAGUUCGUUGUUGAAAUCCUCUGAUUUAUUUAAAAUGGAUGUCAUUGAUUUAAAUCAAUUUAAAAAAAAUGUAUUGAUUGUUAUUAAAUGAAUAUAUUUAUUGAACCUCAAAAAGUGAUUUCAUUUUUAAUGCCAAUUUACAACGAGAGAAUAUCCAGAAUUACAUACAUAUAUUUUAGAAUAUAUUGAUUGUUGUUAAAUAAAUAUAUCUCUUACGGC